rnacentral:rRNA from 1 species
GAUGAACGCUGGCGGCGUGCCUAAUACAUGCAAGUCGAGCGAACAGACGAGGAGCUUGCUCCUCUGAUGUUAGCGGCGGACGGGUGAGUAACACGUGGAUAACCUACCUAUAAGACUGGGAUAACUUCGGGAAACCGGAGCUAAUACCGGAUAACAUGUUGAACCGCAUGGUUCAACAGUGAAAGACGGUCUUGCUGUCACUUAUAGAUGGAUCCGCGCCGCAUUAGCUAGUUGGUAAGGUAACGGCUUACCAAGGCAACGAUGCGUAGCCGACCUGAGAGGGUGAUCGGCCACACUGGAACAGAGACACGGUCCAGACUCCUACGGGAGGCAGCAGUAGGGAAUCUUCCGCAAUGGGCGAAAGCCUGACGGAGCAACGCCGCGUGAGUGAAGAAGGUCUUCGGAUCGUAAAACUCUGUUAUUAGGGAAGAACAAAUGUGUAAGUAACUAUGCACGUCUUGACGGUACCUAAUCAGAAAGCCACGGCUAACUACGUG